rnacentral:rRNA from 1 species
CCUACGGGGGGCUGCAGUCGAGAAUCUUCGGCAAUGGGCGCAAGCCUGACCGAGCGACGCCGCGUGCGGGAUGAAGGCCUUCGGGUUGUAAACCGCUGUCGAGGGGAAUGAAGUGCAGGUGGGUUCUCCCAUCUGUUUGACAGAUCCCUGGAGGAAGCAUGGGCUAAGUUCGUGCCAGCAGCCGCGGUAAGCCGAACCAUGCAAACGUUAUGCGGAUGGACUGGGCAGACGGCGUGCGUAGGCGGUCGUGAAAGCCCUCAGCCCAACUGAGGAAUUGCGCUUGAUACUGCAUGACUAGAGAAUGAUAGAGGUGGGUGGAACUGAUGGUGGAGCGGUGAAAUGCGUUGAUAUCAGCAGGAACACCAGUGGCGAAGGCGACCCACUGGGUCAUUUCUGACGCUGAGGUACGAAAGCUAGGGUAGCGAACGGGAUUAGAUACCCUUGUAGUC